UACGAAGGGGGCUAGCGUUGCUCGGAAUCACUGGGCGUAAAGCGCACGUAGGCGGAUUGUUAAGUCAGGGGUGAAAUCCCCAGAGCUCAACUCUGGAACUGCCUUUGAUACUGGCGAUCUUGAGUCCGGAAGAGGUGAGUGGAACUCCGAGUGUAGAGGUGAAAUUCGUAGAUAUUCGGAAGAACACCAGUGGCGAAGGCGGCUCACUGGUCCGGUACUGACGCUGAGGUGCGAAAGCGUGGGAGCAAACAGG
rnacentral:rRNA from 1 species